rnacentral:rRNA from 1 species
UACGAAGGGGGCUAGCGUUGUUCGGAAUUACUGGGCGUAAAGCGCGCGCAGGCGGUUUUCCAAGUCAGUGGUGAAAGCCCGGAGCUCAACUCCGGAACUGCCAUUGAAACUGGCGAACUUGAGUACGAGAGAGGUGAGUGGAAUUCCCAGUGCAGAGGUGAAAUUCGUAGAUAUUGGGAAGAACACCGGUGGCGAAGGCGGCUCUCUGGACCGUAACUGACGCUGAGGCGCGAAAGCGUGGGGAGCAAACAGG